CGUGAUGGCGCAUUGGGGGCUGAGCGUCGGCUGUGCCUGGCUGUGGUUUGUGAUGCCCAUCAGACGUCUGAGUGGAGAUGUUGAGUAGACCUGAGGCUAGGGGGGCCGACAAGGAUAGAGAUGGGCUUUGGAUCAAGUCCCCACUCUGGAACAAGCCAAAUGGACCAGAAAUUGCGAGUGGGUCACCUUCCAUGGAAAAAGAGAUGUUGCAAAUCUGAUUAAGGACUGAGGAGCCUGAGACGGAGAAUCCUGGAUUGCCCAGGUGGGCCAGAUAUCAUCAUGAGUUGGCUUAAAAGUAGAAGGAAGAGGGAGCCACGAAGGUCGGAAGAUGGGACUAUGAGGGAAGAGCCCCAACGAUGCAUCGUUAGGGGCCUCGAAGCUGGAGGAAGGGGCCGCCAGCCAAGAACGCGGGCGGCCCCAGGGACAGGAAAAGGAGACGGAUUCACCCUGCGCCUGGGUGGCAGGGGGAUAGAGCUGUUCUGAAAUCACUGGCCUCUUCAGCCCAGUGACUCCCGUGUCAGCCUUCUAACCUGCAGAACUGCAAGAGAAUCGACUAAUGCUGUUUGAA